UAGGCGGGAAUCCCAGGCCCGCCCUCCUUCCGCCUCGGCGGCUUCCUCCCUCCUGAGACCUCUGUCCGCCAACGGUGCGGCUGCUCAGAGGUAUAUGUACUAUGGCCUUCCGGCCUUUCUGAUUUGGGAAAUUCAGAGAGGAGACAGUCUAGUCCUGCUUAGGAAAUUUUAUCCGUCUCCAUUAUCCUGGCUUUAGGGGAGUCUGACACCAUGAGAGGUUAAGAAACUAAUCGAGAUCAUGACAGCAAAAACAGGGCAGAGCCAAAUUUGGAACCCAGUAUUUUAUAACUCCAAAUCUAAAAGAACUUGCAGCCACUGACCAGACCCCUUUCAAUUAUGUCAGGGAAACUGAGUAAGCUGCUUGUUACAUAUUUACCGGGACACCGCCGCUCAUCUCCCCUCUCAGUGAUCGGGUGAUGCAAGAGGGAAAAGCCUGAGAUGGAUUCAUAAAUGGCUCGAUUGGGUUCGUUGGUGAAAGCUGGAAAUGAACAGAGGCUGCACUGCCGCCUCACUCAGCAUGGUCCUGAAAGAUUAGCGUUUCAGUUUUUUAAUCACUCUCUGGCUGGCUCCUACCUCUUGGAGAGAAAGCCUCUCUCCUUCAGAAGCCACCCAGCGUCCCUCCCUCAUCCAUUCAUUCAGAUCAUUAAUGAAGAUGUUAAAUGAGACCAGAAUGAAACCGCGUCCCCGUGGCAUCCCGGGAAGACACCUUCCAACAACUUGACACUCUGCCAUUUGCUGUUUCAUUACCCUUUGUUUACCUUGCACACACAGGCCCUCGCUUUUGAAAGAGGCAGAAAGCUUGAUAUUUCUAUUGCUGCAGAGAUGCCACUGAAGGGUGGGGACGUGAAAACCUGGCAUAUUGUAAAUACGUCCUUUUGAGUUUGAAAUAAACGUGGAUUACAAAUUGA